rnacentral:rRNA from 1 species
ACGUGAUCUGAGUUCAGACCGGAGUAAUCCAGGUCAGUUUCUAUCUAUAAAGAGCUUUUUCCAGUACGAAAGGACCGAAAAAACACGGCCCAUGCCUAAAGUAAGCCGUACCCAUUAAUUUAUGAUUUUAAACUCAAUAAACAAUUGACCUCCAAAUUUAUUCUAGACAAGGACA